AUUUAUAUAGUUUAUAAAAACAUUUCAUUUUCAAUGAAAAAAUAAGUCUUUCUUUAUAAAUU
rnacentral:tRNA from 1 species